UCACUGAAAGUGAUGAUAGAUAAAGAGAAAACUAAGGUACUCUUUGCAGAAGUUGAUAGCCAUUUUGCAGACAUUUUGUUAAGCUUCUUGACAUUGCCGCUGGGAAGAAUUAUGAGAAUCCUCGAGAAGCACUAUGGAGACGAAGCACCUACCAUUGGAAGCUUAAACACUUUGUACCAUAGCUUAGCCAAUCUUGAUGAUGCCCAUUUCUGGACAGAUGGUGCUAAGCAGACUUUCCUCAAUCCAGCAAGUUCGUUCGAAGUUGCAGAUUAUCAGCCUGCUCGAUAUUUUGUUUGUACAUAUUGUGGUCAUAGAUUUCGUAGUGUAAGCAUGUACUACGAUAGUAUCCAAAGUUGCAAAAAAUGCGGUCAUAAUUCGAUGCAUGAAGCAGUAGCUAAAAAAGGGCCUCAAGCUGCUUCUAGAGAUGGAGUUUUCACCAUACAUACGAAAUCUUUCAUAAUCUCUGAUGAUCUGCAGAUACUGCCAAAUGAGACAGGAAUCUUAGGAAUCUUUAGAAUUCUUGGCAUUUCAGACAUGGAUAAGGCCGAGCCAAUCAAUGUGACUUUGGAUUCAGUGAGGUGAUUCUUGAUUCUCUUACCAACAUUUUCCUUCAUUUUUUUUUUUAUUCUACCUUAGUGUUCUUAAUUCUUAGAUUAUGAGUUUGUUGAAGGGAUGCUUUAUCUCCCAAACUCCAUUCUCGGACCUCAUAUUGAAUAAAACAAGACAAGCGAACUCUGUAACUGUGGAACCUGAAGCCGAGACCUCAUCACUAAACCAGAUUGAGAAUGAACAUAAUCCCGACUCCAAAAAGAUGAUUUUGAAAGUGAUUAUACAAAAAUCUACGGGUAAGUUAUUGUAUGCACAAGCUAAGGAAGAUUUUGUAGAUUUUCUAUGCAGUUUCCUCUUCAUCCCACUAGGAGGAGUUGAGCAUCUUCUAGGCGGUAANAACUAGAUUUGGUUUUGGAGGAUGAUAGGAAUUUGACGAAAAUCAAUUUUUAUGUUAUUCUUAACGCUGGAAUUUGUAAAUGAAUAACUGCACGUGCAAAUUGAAUCAAAUGAAUGUAUGGUCACUUAAUCAGUUUGUUAGCAUAUUGAAGAUCUGCCUUCUUACAUUACAAUUGAAGUCAAUCUGCAUCUUCUUCAUUGCUAGAGCACUCCAAAAUGUCUGAUGCUAAAGAAGUAGAGUUCUCACUGAAAGUGAUGAUAAAUAAAGAGAAAACUAAGGUACUCUUUACAGAAGUUGAUAGCCAUUUUGCAGACAUUUUGUUAAGCUUCUUGACAUUGCCGUUGGGAAGAAUUAUGAAAAUCCUCGAGAAGCACUAUGGCGACGAAGCACCUACCAUUGGAAGCUUAAACACUUUGUACCAUAGCUUAGCCAAUCUUGAUGAUGCCCAUUUCUGGACAGAUGGUGCUAAGCAGACUUUCCUCAAUCCAGCAAGUUCGUUCGAAGCAGAAUAUAAAAGGCG
rnacentral:lncRNA from 1 species